rnacentral:rRNA from 1 species
UACGGAGGGUGCGAGCGUUGUCCGGAAUCACUGGGCGUAAAGGGCGCGUAGGCGGCGCGGUAAGCGUGCGGUGAAAGCCCGGGGCUCAACCCCGGGUCGGCCGUGCGGACUGCCGGGCUCGAGCACUGUAGAGGCGGGUGGAAUUCCAGGUGUAGCGGUGAAAUGCGUAGAUAUCUGGAGGAACACCGGUGGCGAAGGCGGCAUCCUGGACCGGUAUUGACGCUGAGGCGCGAAAGCCAGGGGAGCAAACGGG